GCGAAUGUGUCGAAAUUGGUAAACGAGCAUACCUUAGGAGUAUGUACCAUUAGGUUUAGGAGUUCGAGUCUCGUCAUUCGUA
rnacentral:tRNA from 1 species